rnacentral:rRNA from 1 species
AUGAAGACGGCUUGCUUGAUGUUGAUUGUGGUUUCGCUCGCCGUCGCCGCUCUGGGCCGUGAGCCGCCGGUGGACAGCCUCCUGCACCAGCGGGAAGCGGAGGGCGGCUGGCGGCGGGCCGCGGCCAACGAUGCAAAGCUGGUCAUCAUCAGGGGCGGACAGGGGCGAGGGCUCAGGAAAGGCGCGCCGGCCAAGUGCGUCCCGGCGGCGGCGUGCCGACGGAGGAUGAUUGUCUGCGGCAAGAGGUGCUACACGGCCAGGUCACGCCUCGUCCGCGUCCCGCCGGCCACCAAGUGCGUCAUGGUCUGCAAGAAGUGCGUGCCAACCUGCUGA